GGAUGUGAGGGUGAUCUAUCUGUGGCAUCUGUUACCAUAUUGAUCACCAAGGUUGAAAUGGCGGCCAACCUGGCUGGCUAUACAGGUGAGCCCUUCCUCCCUCACAGCCCCAUGUACAUCCUUCCCAAAGCUCAGUGCUUGGUUGAAGAGAACUUCCUUCCCUGAUAAAAUGGUUAAGUGGAACAAGAUUUAAGGCAGUUUAUGUCCAUAAACAUAACCCAUCACAUAAACAGAACCAAAAACAAAAACCACAUGACUAUCU
rnacentral:sRNA from 1 species